UACAGAGGUCUCAAGCGUUGUUCGGAUUCAUUGGGCGUAAAGGGUGCGUAGGCGGCGCGGUAAGUCGGGUGUGAAAUCUCGGAGCUUAACUCCGAAACUGCAUUCGAUACUGCCGUGCUUGAGGACUGGAGAGGAGACUGGAAUUUACGGUGUAGCGGUGAAAUGCGUAGAUAUCGUAAGGAAGACCAGUAGCGAAGGCGGCUCGCUGGGCCAUUCCUGACGCUGAGACGCGAAAGCUAGGGGAGCGAACAGG
rnacentral:rRNA from 1 species